GGGAAGAGCCAGCCCCACGCCGGUCCGCCUCCCGCCCGCGGCCCGGCCUCCCUCCUUCCCUCCCGCCGCCUGGCUCGGCGCUCCUUCGCCCCGAGUUCUCCAUCCCCUGGAUCCGGGCUCGCGGGGGCGCGGAGAAGAGGAUCGAGGAAAGGACCAUCCAUCCCCGGGCCGGCAUUUAGAAAGUGACUUCUCUGGGCUACUACAACUACCCGAGAUUUUUACUUUCCGUCCACACUGAGCGCCUUGCACUUAAAUUCACUGCGCCCUGCAUGCAACAGUGCCUCGCCAAGAAGUCUCUGGGAAUAAAAUUCCUCCCAAAGGAAAUGUCCCAAGGAGACGCGGCACCACCGGGGCGCUGGCUAUCUUCCUUCUGAAGAUGAAGGAGUGUCUGUACUCGGAUGAUGGCUGUAAGAAGAUCCGUCUCAAGUUUCUGUGUCUUUUGAUUGAGAUAAUCUUUGAGCCAUUUGUACCUUAUUUUACACCUCACCGAAGGCUGCGAUCAGAAUGCUUCACUUCCAAUUCCCGUUUUCUCCAAAGUCAGAAAUGGGGGUAAUUGAUUUCAUGGUUUCCCCAGCCGUUCCAAGUACUGGCAGUGUGCUGCAGAAGGGACUUCAGUAACACCGAUGUCAGCGAGGUAGAAGAAGAUGCUGUUGCUGCCCUGUCCAGAUCUCCUUGACCAGGUCAGUGUACCCCCUCCCUUGCUACUAAUGUUAGCUGCCAAUCGUUCAUAGCUGCCACUUUCUCUGAGAGUUACACCCAUCUGUCCCCUGGGGCAGCCCACAGCCAGAGAACAGCUGCCCCCCUUGCAUCAAGAAGAGACAACCAUAAGGAGCUAUUGACCUCUCAGAGCCCCCACUCCACG